rnacentral:lncRNA from 1 species
GAGAAAUGUAACCUUAAAAUCCCUUUGUGUUGCUAAUUGCAUUCUUUUAUUCUCUUUCCUUAAGCCCCGUGAAGAAAAUACUCUGAAGACAAUGGAGCUGUGACAUUCUAUGUCAACUUGCCAACUGGAACUAUGGAAAUUUUAGAAGAUUGCCAGCACACUCACACUGGGCUGGUGCCAAAUGGAUACAUGAACAAGAUUUUUCAAGCCAAUCCAGAGGAUGGGAGCACUGAGACACUAAAGAUUUGUGACCUUCAGCACUGCAACUCCAGAGGCAUCAACCAAAAUGCAAGGGAAGAGGCAGCCAGGUAUAAGAAGAAAGCCAAGGGCAACCGGAUUUGGAAUUUUGUUAGCCGAAGGAAAGGUCCCUCCAUGAAUAACAAAAGACCCCAGUCCAUGAUCCUGCUAGGAGAGACCUCAGAGACCUUAGAAGAAAAACACAAGAUGUCCUUCAUGGAGAGGGUGAGGUCCUUUAAAAAGCUAAGAACCUCCAGCAUGUCUAAAAAUGUGGAUUUGAGACCCUCCAAAGCCAAAGUUUCUUGCAUCCCUGAGGAGGACCAGGAGGACAGUGACCAAAGGGCAGUCUACAGGAUUAAGAAACUAGCUGACAGUCAGAGGCCUUUCCGUCAUUCGUAUGCAGGGUACAUCGAUGAUUUGGAUUCUUCCUUUGAAGACGUAGAGUUAAAUGUCAGCAUUCCAGAAAUUGAUGCCAAUGAAAAUAAAUGGCUCAGGGAUAUUAGUGUCAGAAUACACAGUGAAGAUAAUGAUAGUAACUGCCAUAAAAUGUCAGUUAGAAAGAGCAAGCUUUUGAAUUUUGAAAACUCUGAGAGUUCUGUGAUUACACAAAGGGACAAUCAAAGGAGGUGUCCCACGCUUCCCGAGGAGAACAGGAGAGGAAAAAACUCUGAUGUCUGGAGCUACCUGAAGGGAAUUUCAUUGUCUAGCAAAGAUAAUUCAAAGUUGCUCAGUCGAAGUGUUGAAACAAAUUUCCAGAACUUAGAAGAUAUAACUGAUAAUUCUGCUUCUUAUUUUAACUUUGAUAUGAGAUGUGAGGAGAAUCUUAGCCAGCCUAAAAAAUCAAACAGUGAAAUGAAAGUCAGUCACUUUGGUGGUGUUCUUCGGUUCUUUAACAGUGUGGCUGAGGCAGCUAGGAAGUGGCGAGGCUCUUCCCGGACGUUUCCGCAGGGAGAGCAAAGACCUCAGUCCAAUUUCAGAAGUCAAAGGCAGGAAGCCUCCUUCCACAAAGAGUCUUUGGUUAUUGAGAAUGAAAAUGCCAGAGCUUUCUCUUCAACGGGAAUGUCAUUGCGGUCUCCAGAUUCUGGGAUUUGGGAUAAUCAUAGUUCUGAGAGUUCAACAGGAAAAGUGCUGCCUCAGCGAAGUGUUGAAGCAGAGUUGUCUCAAGAGAUCAGCAGCUCUGCUCUGAACAAUGAGAAUGAUAGUUUUAACGAACUUUCUGACCUUGGGCCAAGUCCAUCCAUCUCCCCACUGCCAGAACUUCCAGAUGACCAUUAUGCUCCAUUAAGCACACAAGGCUCAUUUAAGGCUCUAUCACAGUUUCCAGACAUGCCUGUGACUGAAUUAGAUGCUCGGGACCCGGGCAGCUCUCCGGCAGCGGAUGCUCGGGACCAGGGCAGCUCUCCGGUGGCAGAUGCUCGGGACCAGGGCAGCUCUCUGGCGGCGGAUGCUUGGGAACUUGGAAAUAUUGAGUUACAUUUGAAAGACGAGGCUAAGACUAAACUGGGUAUUCAGGAACUAAGUAGCACUCAAAACUAUGUUGAGGACACUAGGAGUACUCCAGUGGAUAUUCAGGACCUGGACAAGACUCAAUCACAUUCUCAAGAUCUUUCUAAGAGUAAAUUGGAUACUCAGGACCCAGAGAGUGUUCUGACUGGUACUCAAGGCCUCUUUGCAGUUACUCUUUUAAAACAUGCAACAGAUAAUGAGCAAGCUUUAGAACUGGAGGAUUCUCCUAUCAAAGAACAUGAAAUAAGUUUACCAGUAGAACAAAUUUCCAUGGAGAGGCCAGACAAAGCAAGUCACUUUAAGUAUAGUAAAGUGUGCCAUCAGAUCCAGAUGAGCCUCUGUACAAUUGUCUCCUUUGGGGAACUCAACAAUGGAAAGCCCCUGUCUCACCCUCUUCAUCCAUCACCACAAGCACCUCCUUUCAAAAUCCUUUUGGACAGAUGUCGCUCCUUACCCCUUUCCCAAAGCACUCCGAUGGGGCUGGACCAACUGGGCUGGAGGAGGCGGCUGUUGCUGAGCACUGGUGGUGAGUCACCUUUCAUUUGACUACUCAGACUUGCCUUUUAACCAAAGCAGCAAGGGCAGCAUUGGG